rnacentral:rRNA from 1 species
GACGAACGCUGGCGGCGGGCCUAAUACAUGCAAGUCGAGCGAAGUUUUUCUGGUGCUUGCACUAGAAAAACUUAGCGGCGAACGGGUGAGUAACACGUAAAGAACCUGCCUCAUAGACUGGGACAACUAUUGGAAACGAUAGCUAAUACCGGAUAACAGUAUUUCUCGCAUGAGAGAUAUUUAAAAGUUGGUUAUGCUAACACUAUGAGAUGGCUUUGCGGUGCAUUAGCUAGUUGGUGGGGUAAAGGCCCACCAAGGCGACGAUGCAUAGCCGACCUGAGAGGGUGAUCGGCCACACUGGGACUGAGACACGGCCCAGACUCCUACGGGAGGCAGCAGUAGGGAAUAUUCCGCAAUGGGCGAAAGCCUGACGGAGCAACGCCGCGUGAGUGAAGAAGGAUUUCGGUUCGUAAAGCUCUGUUGUUAGGGAAGAAUGGAUAUGUAGUAACUAUACAUGUAAGAGACGGUACCUAACCAGAAAGCCACGGCUAACUACGUG